UGGGGAAUCAUGGUCAAUGGGCGAAAGCCUGAACCUGCGACGCCGCGUGAGUGAUGAAGGUCGUAAGAUCGUAAAACUCUUUUCAGGGAUCUUAAAGCCUGUCUGUCAACAACAGGCAGGUCUGACUCUCCCUGGAAGAAGCCCCAGCCAACUACGUGCCAGCAGCUGCGGUAAUACGUAGGGGGCGAGCGUUAUUCGGAAUUACUGGGUGUAAAGGGUAUGUAGGCGGCCCUUCAAGUCGCGUGUCAAAGUCUAGUGCUCAACGCUGGGUGUGCACGCGAUAAUGACGGGCUUGAGGGCUGGAGAGGUGAGCGGAAUUCCCGGUGUAGUAGUAAAAUACGUAGAGAUCGGGAGGAACACCAGCGGCGCAGGCGGCUCACUAGACAGUUGCUGACGCUAAGAUACGAAAGCCUGGGGAGCAAGCAGGAUUAGAAGCCCCUGUAGAC
rnacentral:rRNA from 1 species